rnacentral:rRNA from 1 species
UACGUAGGGUGCAGGCGUUAAUCGGAAUUACUGGGCGUAAAGCGUGCGCAGGCGGUUUCUUAAGUCAGAUGUGAAAGCCCCGGGCUUAACCUGGGAACUGCGUUUGAAACUGGGAGACUCGAGUGUGGCAGAGGGGGGUGGAAUUCCACGUGUAGCAGUGAAAUGCGUAGAUAUGUGGAGGAACACCAAUUGCGAAGGCAGCUCGCUGGGACGUAACUGACGCUGAGACGCGAAAGCGUGGGGAGCAAACAGG